rnacentral:rRNA from 1 species
AGAUUGAACGCUGGCGGCAGGCCUAACACACGCAAGUCGAGCGGUAGAGAGGUGCUUGCAUCUCUUGAGAGCGGCGGACGGGUGAGUAAUGCCUAGGAAUCUGCCUAGUGGUGGGGGAUAACGUUCGGAAACGGACGCUAAUACCGCAUACGUCCUACGGGAGAAAGCAGGGGACCUUCGGGCCUUGCGCUAUCAGAUGAGCCUAGGUCGGAUUAGCUAGUUGGUGGGGUAAUGGCUCACCAAGGCGACGAUCCGUAACUGGUCUGAGAGGAUGAUCAGUCACACUGGAACUGAGACACGGUCCAAACUCCUACGGGAGGCAGCAGUGGGGGAAUCUUGCGCAAUGGGCGAAAGCCUGACG